rnacentral:rRNA from 1 species
AUUGAACGCUGGCGGAACGCUUUACACAUGCAAGUCGAACGGUAACGCGGAGAGAAGCUUGCUUCUCUCCGGCGACGAGUGGCGAACGGGUGAGUAAUACAUCGGAACGUGUCCGCUCGUGGGGGACAACCAGCCGAAAGGUUGGCUAAUACCGCAUGAGUUCUACGGAAGAAAGAGGGGGACCCGCAAGGGCCUCUCGCGAGCGGAGCGGCCGAUGACUGAUUAGCCGGUUGGUGAGGUAACGGCUCACCAAAGCAACGAUCAGUAGCUGGUCUGAGAGGACGACCAGCCACACUGGGACUGAGACACGGCCCAGACUCCUACGGGAGGCAGCAGGGGGGAAUUUUGGACAAUGGGCGCAAGCCUGAUCCAGCUAUUCCGCGUGUGGGAUGAAGGCCCUCGGGUUGUAAACCACUUUUGUAGAGAACGAAAAGACACCUUCGAAUAAAGGGUGUUGCUGACGGUACUCUAAGAAUAAGCACCGGCUAACUACGUGCCAGCAGCCGCGGUAAUACGUAGGGUGCGAGCGUUAAUCGGAAUUACUGGGCGUAAAGGGUGCGCAGGCGGUUGAGUAAGACAGAUGUGAAAUCCCCGAGCUUAACUCGGGAAUGGCAUAUGUGACUGCUCGACUAGAGUGUGUCAGAGGGAGGUGGAAUUCCACGUGUAGCAGUGAAAUGCGUAGAUAUGUGGAAGAACACCGAUGGCGAAGGCAGCCUCCUGGGACAUAACUGACGCUCAGGCACGAAAGCGUGGGGAGCANACAGG